rnacentral:lncRNA from 1 species
AGAGCAGCAGCUCUGGCGCUAGAGGGAACCUGGGCUGCUCUAGCUGGGGGAGAGCCGGGUCUCUGGUUCUAAUCACUUGAAUCUGACUUCUGGGAAAACUGGCGUCCAGGGACUCCCCCCGGAGACCCAUAAUCUUCUUGGGGCGACCUCAGGACUUCUGUAGACAAGACAGAUACUGUAAAGACAGCAAAGAACAAACAGAAUGGCAGAUUGCUAAUGUUUGAUCCAAACGAAAAAGUGAUGAUUGAAUCAAACGAAGCAAUGUCAGAUAAAUGCCUCUUUGGACGCAGACCAAGAUUGACAAGCAAACUUAAUACCUCACCAACACAGGUCUCUGUAAAUGUAGCUAAAACAUUCUCAGAAAAGUAAGUUUUAAUUAAUUUUGUUUUUA